rnacentral:rRNA from 1 species
UACCAUGCAAGUCGAACGGUGAAGCCCAGCUUGCUGGGUGGAUCAGUGGCGAACGGGUGAGUAACACGUGAGCAACCUGCCCCUGACUCUGGGAUAAGCGCUGGAAACGGCGUCUAAUACUGGAUAUGUACCACGAUCGCAUGGUCUGUGGUUGGAAAGAUUUUUCGGUUGGGGAUGGGCUCGCGGCCUAUCAGCUUGUUGGUGAGGUAAUGGCUCACCAAGGCGUCGACGGGUAGCCGGCCUGAGAGGGUGACCGGCCACACUGGGACUGAGACACGGCCCAGACUCCUACGGGAGGCAGCAGUGGGGAAUAUUGCACAAUGGGCGCAAGCCUGAUGCAGCAACGCCGCGUGAGGGAUGACGGCCUUCGGGUUGUAAACCUCUUUUAGCAGGGAAGAAGCGAAAGUGACGGUACCUGCAGAAAAAGCGCCGGCUAACUACGUGCCAGCAGCCGCGGUAAUACGUAGGGCGCAAGCGUUAUCCGGAAUUAUUGGGCGUAAAGAGCUCGUAGGCGGUUUGUCGCGUCUGCUGUGAAAUCCGGAGGCUCAACCUCCGGCCUGCAGUGGGUACGGGCAGACUAGAGUGCGGUAGGGGAGAUUGGAAUUCCUGGUGUAGCGGUGGAAUGCGCAGAUAUCAGGAGGAACACCGAUGGCGAAGGCAGAUCUCUGGGCCGUAACUGACGCUGAGGAGCGAAAGGGUGGGGAGCAAACAGGCUUAGAUACCCUGGUAGUCCACCCCGUAAACGUUGGGAACUAGUUGUGGGGUCCAUUCCACGGAUUCCGUGACGCAGCUAACGCAUUAAGUUCCCCGCCUGGGGAGUACGGCCGCAAGGU